rnacentral:rRNA from 1 species
ACUCAAAUGAAUUGACGGGGGCCCGCACAAGCGGUGGAGCAUGUGGUUUAAUUCGACGCAACGCGCAGAACCUUACCCGGGUUUGACAUCCAAGGAAUCCCGUGGAGACAUGGGAGUGCCCGCAAGGGAGCCUUGAGACAGGUGCUGCAUGGCUGUCGUCAGCUCGUGUCGUGAGAUGUUGGGUUAAGUCCCGCAACGAGCGCAACCCCCGCCUCCAGUUGCCAGCGUAAAGCCGGGCACUUUGGAGGGACUGCCGGUGUCAAGCCGGAGGAAGGUGGGGAUGACGUCAAGUCCUCAUGGCCUUUAUGCCCGGGGCCACACACGUGCUACAAUGGCCGGUACAAAGGGAAGCCAAGGCGCGAGCCGGAGCAAAUCCCGGAAAACCGGUCCCAGUUCGGAUCGGAGUCUGCAACUCGACUCCGUGAAGUCGGAAUCGCUAGUAAUCGCGGAUCAGAACGCCGCGGUGAAUACGUUCCCGGGCCUUGUACACACCGCCCGU